CACGGGGGGAGCAAGCGUUGUUCGGAAUUACUGGGCGUAAAGGGUGCGUAGGCGGUUCGUUAAGUUGGAUGUGAAAACUCUGGGCUCAACCCAGAGCCUGCAUCCAAAACUGGCGGGCUAGAGUUCUGGAGGGGGUAGCGGAAUUCCUGGUGUAGCGGUGAAAUGCGUAGAUAUCAGGAGGAACACCGGUGGCGAAGGCGGCUACCUGGACAGAAACUGACGCUGAGGCACGAAAGCUAGGGGAGCAAACAGG
rnacentral:rRNA from 1 species